GAGUAUUUAUACCAUGGAAACCGGCAAAUACUAAAGUCAGAUAUUUGUUUGUGUAUUUUUCAGAGAGACAGUUUUCAAACCUUUAGUAGCACACCACUGCUCAGAAAACCAGGGAGGAGGCAGAGCUCACAGGGCUUCUGGUUCCACAAGGAUCUCACCGAUAUCCCAAAACCCAUCUUAGAGAAGUGCCAGAGGAAGGGCAGACAUCCAAGAGUUUGGGUGAAGUUGGUCACAACCCUCUUCGAUGACGCCUUCAAACUUCAAUAGAGGAAUUAACAGUAGAUGAUGUGGAAAUAGCAAGAGAACUAGAAUUGACAGUGUAGUCUAAAGAUGUGAAAGAAUUGCUGCAAUCUCAUUCUAAAACUUGAACACUUGAGGAAGAGCUUCUCAGGGAUGAGCAAAGAAAGUGGUUUGAGACAGAGUGAAGAUUCCUGGUGAAGACUCUGUGAACAAUGUUGAAAUGACAACAAAGGAUUAAGAAUAUUCCAUAAAUCACGGAAUAUUGAUGGUAUUACAAAGGCAGGAUUUAUAAAGAUUCAUUCCAAUUUUGAAAGAAGUUCUUCCGUGGGUAAAAUGCUAUCAAACGGCAUUGUGUGACACAGACAAAUCUUUCCUGAAAGGAAGAGUCAAGUGAUCUGAUAAACAUCAUUUCUGUGCUACUUUAAGAAAUUACAACAGACACUACUGCAUUCAGCAACCAUCACCCUGAUCAGUCAGCAGUAUCUAUGUUGAGGUACUCCAUCAUCAUCAAUAACAAAAACAACAACAACAGACUCAUUGAAGGCUCAUAUAAUUAUUAACACUUUUUUACAAAUAAAAUAUUUUAGAUUAAGGUAUACACUUUUUUAGACAUAUACCGUUGUACACUUAUUAGACUACUGUACAUUUUAUACACAGAUUCUAUUUGCACCAGGAACCAAAAGAUUUGUGUGACUUGCUUUAGAGAUAUAUUUGCUUUACCAAGAUGGUCUGGCACUGAAUCUGCAAUCUCUUCCAGGUACGCCUGCAUGAGUCCAUGAACUCGGAUGGGAAAAUAACAAUAUAUAUAUAUAUAUAUAUAU
rnacentral:lncRNA from 1 species